rnacentral:lncRNA from 11 species
AAAAUCUGAUCUGUAGUCACAGUCAAUUAUGAUAUGUUUUUACAAUUUAUUUUUGUUUUUUACAGAUGAUUCUUUGGGACUGGGAUUUAACGCACUGGUAUAAACCUUACUAUCAGAAUGCUUGCAGUGGAAAUGGGAUUGAUCUUUCUAUACUAAACGAGACUCGCAACAUGGUGUCUGAUCUUCUGAAUGAUCCCGUCCUUCCCCCACAUGUGAUCUCUUCACUUCGAAGUAUCAAUAGUUUAAUAAGUACUUUCUCAGGCUCAUGUAAACCAAAGCUUAACCUGUUUACUCCCUUUCCGGGGUUUUAUCCAUAUCCAGAAAUGGAAGACUCACCUGAAAGAGGAGACCGUAAACCAUACAAGGUUAAAAUACUACAAUUUCAGUCAUUGCAUGAUAUUCUAAUAUAUUAUCUAAUAUAUUUUAUAAAAUUUGAAACCCUGUAUUCCAGAUUUUUUACUCACAUGGUAACUUUUCAUAUUAGUUUGUAAUCAACAGCUUUCAAAACCAAUGAAGCAGUGUUUACCUAUAUAUUAGGCUUGUGCACACUUUCGGAGUGGUCAGUUUCCUUCAGCCAAUUCGGCUUGUUUGGCUUGGCCGGAUGGCCGUAACGGCAAGGGCCCAGCCGUCACAUUUUCUGGUCCGUAAUGGGACAAUGUGGCAGCCAAUCACGGCCCCUCCUUCCCUAUUUGGCAUCGCAGUUGCCUCCUGGCUUCAGUGUAUUUUUUUGGCUUGGCUUCCGGUUUGCCCUCUCUCAAAUCUUUUUAAUUUUCCUUUAUUUUCUUGAUUCUUUUUAUUUAGUGGGACUGACGGAGUUGGGAACAUGCGGGACAGGUGGGUGGGGUGCGUUUGGGAGCUUGGAGAGUUACCCUUUUAGCUUUUUUUUCUCUCUCCUCCUCUCUUCCAGAAAAUACUUCUAAAAGAUAAUAAUUAUUCAAAAUAUUAAUCCCAGAAAACAAAAACAAAAGCCUUAUUCUCAGAAAGCUACUACCACUUAGUUACUUCUCCUCUAGAGUAGAAAGUAGAAACAGCUUAAAGGAAGCAUUAAACCUGUGAUGACUCAUGGGCCAUGUAGUCCCGUUCCUAGCGCUGUUGUGACAGAUGAAGAGGAAAACUUGGGUUUUCCACCGUUUCAGCCAGAAUUGGAACUUUCCCAGCCUGAAUAGGAGCCCUUGCACCUGCAGGAGGUUUGUCUACCAGAAAUCUGCCAAACAAGCCCUGAGUCAAAAUCUCCCCCAUUUUCUCGCCGUAAUUAUUAUCAACAACAAAAAGGAGUUCAACA